rnacentral:misc_RNA from 1 species
GAAAUGCGAUAAGUAAUGUGAAUUGCAGAAUUCAGUGAAUCAUCGAAUCUUUGAACGCACAUUGCGCCCGCCAGAAUUCUGGCGGGCAUGCCUGUUCGAGCGUCAUUUCAACCCUCGAGCUCCCCUUUCGGGGGGAGCCCGGCGUUGGGGACCCGGCGCUAACAACGCCGGCCCCGAAAUGGAGUGGCGGCCCGUCCGCGGCGACCUCUGCGUAGUAACAACCACUCGCACCGGGACCCGGGCGCGGCCACGCCGUAAAACACCCCACCUUCCGAAUGUUGACCUCGAAUCAGGUAGGAAUACCCGCUGACCUUAAGC